AAAACAACAUUUUUGAGCAUUUUUGUACGUGUCUUCUGAUGAAUACACAACUUGCAUCUCUUGAGGAGGGAGAUUUCUGAAUCAUAAUGUAGGCUUUUGUUUAGCACAACAGCCCACCAGUUUUUCUUUGCAUUUCGUAAGGCAAGUUGCACCAUUCUUGUCCCAGAUUGGAGGCCAACUUUUCUUCAGCAAUGUGGCAGGGUGGCCUGUACUAUGGGUGUAUUAGCCUGUUCUCAUGCUGCUAACAAAGACAUACCUGAGACUGGGUAAUUUAUAAAGGAAAGAGGUUUAAUUGACUCACAGCUCCACAUGGCUGGGGAUUCUCACAAUCAUGGCGGAAGGCAAAUGAGGAGCAAAGUCAUGUCUUACAUGGCAGCAGGCAAGAGGCCAUGUGCAGGGGAACUCCCCUUUAUAAAACCAUUGGAUCUCAUGAGACUUAUUGACUAUCACAAGAAUGGUGUGGGAAAGAGCCACCCCCAUGAUUCAAUUACCUCCCACUGGGUCCUUCCCAUGACACAUGGGAAUUAUGGGAGCUACAAUUUAAGAUGAGAUUUGGGUGGGGACACAGCCAAACCAUAUCAGUGGGCAAGUUCAAUAAGCAAUGAAUGCUUAAGUACCCACCAGAGCACUGAAGCCACAGAGGUAGGAGGACCAAGAAUAGGCAUCUUGGCUGGUGACACUCAGACGUCAAGAUCCAAAUCUACAGUUUCUAUAGAGGAAAGCUUCCACUGGCAGCCAGGCCCCUGCCUUCAGGGAUGCCUCAGGCCCUGAGAGUUCACCUCUUUCUCCUGGCAAUGUCAAGUUCCACAUUUCUGAGCCAGGCAGAGGAAAUUAUUUGUGAAUUUAUGACAGAGAAAAUAUUCUUUAAACAGAAUCUUCCCUGAUUAUUGGAGCAAAUUUGGCUGCUAGGAACUGCUUCUCCCUAUUAGCUCAUUGGGAACAGAGGGGAGAGCCUCUCACUCUGCUUAACCCCCUAUGGCUCUGUUCCUUGCCAGAGAAGGGGCCCAAUAAAUGCUUGACAAGUUAAAUGGAAAUGAUUUUUCCCCUUUUAAAUGUCUCCUCACUAUGGCAUGUCAUUUAUACAGGACGAAGCUUUUAUUACAUUCAUCCUCUUUCCUCCUACCUAAUCCUCUUGUCUUUCAUCCUCCAUCCACCUGUCCUAUUGCAUUUGGGACUCAACAUGUGACAUGGAAUAAUAGUGGUUAAAGCAUUAGUUUAAGGGCCAAAAUGCCCAUGUUCAAACCCUGUUCUGCCCCAUAAUAGCCACUAGAUCUUUAUCAAAUAACUGUACUAUAUCACAAUUUUUUGUGUAAAUAAAUAAGUUAAUAUAUAUAGAAGUGCUUAGAAUUAUGCUGGGUUAAGGCCUACAUAAGUGUUACCAAAUAUUAUGUGAGAACCUACAGGGGAAAAAAAAGAAGGGAACCUCUGUUUAGCCAGAGUUCCUCCUCUAUAGAGGUCUUCUACUCUGAAAACAUCACCCUUAAUUAUUCCCAAAACAGUCUGCAAUAGUGAAGGAUACCAACCAGUAAUCCCUCAUGUCUAAUUAUACCCUUAAAACUUGCAAGCACCUUAUAUUCAGAAUAUAUUUGAAUGCUUACAGAAACCUUUUGAAAAAGAAGAAGAGGUAGUAUCCCUAUUUUGCAGGAACUAAAGUUCUUGGGCUUUCUAUCAUGCAACCAUCUAAUCACUCAUUCACCCAUUCACUGAUAUAGAGAUUGUGUUAAGCCCCUCCCAAUCCCAGUCCCCAUCCCCCGCACACUGUGUGCUACACCCAGUUCUCCUGCCUGGUCAGCCAGAGCCCAGGUCUUCUAAUAGCCAUCCUGCUCUAGUCCUACCCACCAGACCCCAGCCCUCUGUGAGCUUUUAUUCGACUACUCACUUCUCCAUCUCUCUUUUCUACCUCUUCCUCAUCCAGACUUUCAUCACCUGAACAUCACAUUCACUGCAUUUAAGUUGAAUGGCUUCCUAACUUAAUAACUUACAUAAAAAUUAUGCAUUUUAUUGUAUACUAUGUGUUUAAUAUUUAGCAGAAAGAAUAACAGAUAGAAAAAAUGAAAGAGUAAAUGAAAAUACAGAUAUACAAUAAAUGAAAAAGAGAGUCUAUAUUUUACCACUCUGGAUAAUUGCUAUAUCUCUAGAGCAGAUAUGUAUAUGUGUAUGUAUAAAUUUUAACAAAAUUGGUAUUGGAAUACACAUAACAUUUUAAAACAUACUUGUAAACUUUAAUAUCUAUCUUUCCAUGUCAAUACAUAUUUAUCAACCAAAUCAAUUUUAAUUGACUGGACAAUGUUGCACAGUAUAGAUAUCCAUUGCUUAAUUUGACCUGUUAUUGAACAGUAGGUUAUUUCCUUUUAUAGAAAUGUUUUGCUAGUAUAAACAAUGCUAAGAUAAACAUCCUUGUAUAUACUUUUAUGUUCAUAUCCUUAAUGAUGUACUUUAAAUAAAUUCUAACUGGUGACACUGCAGUCUUAUUUUUAACACUUUUGAUAGCUUUUGUAACACUGUCCUUCAGAAAGACUAUGCUAGUAAAAGGGUACCCACCACAUGCCAGCACUAGUAAGUAUUAUGUAAAACAAAUAAAAAUAAAAACUAG
rnacentral:lncRNA from 1 species